rnacentral:lncRNA from 1 species
AAAAAUGAAAAUGGGGCGCCGAAUUUUGAAAGUGGGUGGGAAAAAACACAUUCUCGAAAAAAUAUGGUUACUUCCGCCAAGAAAAGACGUGUUUAUAGGCUACAGUAUAAAACAGACUAAGCGCAUAGGCGACAUAUAUUAAAUUACAGACUAUUUUGCCUAACCGUAUUUGCUACCUCACAGCUCACACGAAAUCGUUCAUAUAGAAACAUGAUCAGUGAUCACAGGCAACGUUUCAUUACCGGAAUAUUGGUCAGGUUUCGAUCGAAGCGAUCACGGGAAUUAUGCCCUUUUUUGCUGGUAUUAUGCCCUUAUAAUAUGCCGUUUAUUAUGCUUCACGAAUCACGA